GAUGAAGAACGCAGCGAAAUGCGAUACGUAAUGUGAAUUGCAGAAUUCAGUGAAUCAUCGAAUCUUUGAACGCAUAUUGCGCUCUCUGGUAUUCCGGAGAGCAUGCUUGUUUGAGUAUCAGUAAACACCUCAACUUCCAUAUCUUUUUUGAAAUGGGAGUUGGACUUGAGUGAUCCCAACGCUUUUCCUCACCGAAAAGUGGCGGGUUACUUGAAAUGCAGGUGCAGCUGGACUUUUCUCUGAGCUAUAAGCAUAUCUAUUUAGUCUGCCUAAAAAACAUAUUAUUACCUUUGCUGCAGCUAACAUAAAGGAGAUUAGUUCUUGUGCUGACUGAUGCAGGAUUCACAAAGACAGCUUCGGCCGACUUUGUAAACUCGAUCUCAAAUCAAGUAAGACUACCCGCUGAACUUAAGCAUAUCAAUAAGCGGAGGA
rnacentral:misc_RNA from 1 species